rnacentral:rRNA from 1 species
CCAAGGAGUCUAACAUGUGCGCGAGUCGUCGGGUCUUGAACAGGCCCGCAGGCGCAAUGAAAGUGAAGGGAGGCCGUCGCGGCCUCCCGCGUUGGGAUCCCCGGGUUGGCAUGCCCGGGGCGCACCAACGGCCCGUCCCGUCCGCAGCGUCGGUGGGACGGAGCGAGAGCGUACACGUUGGGACCCGAAAGAUGGUGAACUAUGCCCGGGCAGGACGAGGCCAGAGGAAACUCUGGUGGAGGUCCGCAGCGAUUCUGACGUGCAAAUCGAUCGUCAGACCUGGGUAUAGGGGCGAAAGACUAAUCGAACCGUCUAGUAGCUGGUUCCCUCCGAAGUUUCCCUCAGGAUAGCUGGCGCUCGAGGGAGUCAGUCUCAUCCGGUAAAGCGAAUGAUUAGAGGCCUUGGGGCCGAAACGACCUCAACCUAUUCUCAAACUUUCAAUGGGUGAGAAGUCCGGCUUACGUGACUGAAGCCCGGACGGACUGUAGUGGAUGCGAGUGCCCAGUGGGCCACUUUU